rnacentral:lncRNA from 1 species
AAGUUGGGGGCUUAUCCCAAGCUUUGACUUUUGAUUAAGCAUUUUGGUCAAAUUGAGGGGUAUCGUUAGUUAUGUUCUAUGCCAUGUUGUCAAAAGCUCAAGGCGCACGUAAGGCUAGUGCGCUUUUGACAACAUACACUUUCUACUAAUGGCUACUGAGUUGGAAGCUAAUGCAAAGCCAUUGAGGUGAUCUCUGGUGACUUGAUAUCAGGUUUCUCUUGAUACCAAAAAAGGCUGGGGUAGUGGGUUGGCGCGCGAUGGUGGAAAGGCUUCCGACAUUGGUGACACUUUCAAGGAAAGGCAUUCAGCCAGUUUCUGAACUAUGUCCGCUGUGCAACGAAGUCCCGGAAACUUGUGAACACCUUUUCGUCUCUUGUCAGUUCGCCCAAUCACUCUGCAAUGGUGCAAGAUUCCAGAAUUUAUCGCUUUCAGCCUCAACGACAUACUUCUGAUUGAUGGCUUCGUGUCUGGCUCAUCUAAAAGGGGAAAGACUAUUCACGCAGUAGCUCUUGUCUUCGUAUGGAGUAUUUGGCGGAUGAGAAAUAAAGUCGUAUUCGAACAAGCCGCUGUCUCGGUUCCGAUGGUCGUGGAGGAAAUCAAAGGUAUGAGUUUUCAAUGGGUAAAAUUUCGAUCGAAAGAGGCAUGCCUGACCUGGGAUAGAUGGAAGUUUUUGACUUUGUUUCGUAUAUGUAGUUCUGCUCAUAUAAUUCUGUCUAUACUUUGUUAUGAGUUUGAGGUUGUAACUUUGGUUGAUGUAAUUAUGGUGCUAGCACCUUGCUA